GUUUCAUCUAUUUUUUAUUUUGUUAACUCUUUCUUCUCUCGUUGUCAUUCAUGCUCAUACAAUAGGUUUCCGUUGAAAUUAACAAAGAGAUUACUAGCAGUACAUGAGGCUGGCCAUAUAUUAUUAGCCCAUUUGUUCACUCGAUUUGAUUGGCAUGCAUUUUCGCAGUUGCUUCCUGGUGGCAAGGAGACUGCUAUUUCUGUAUUUUAUCCAAGGGAGGACAUGGUAGACCAAGGGUAUACUACAUUUGGUUAUAUGAAAAUGCAAAUGGUUGUUGCACACGGAGGACGCUGUG